rnacentral:lncRNA from 1 species
GGAAGGAGCCCAGAGGAAACACUGCACUUUGGAGUCCAGAGGAAAGAUGAGUAAUCUCAAACACAGGUGCUAGAUGUGCCUGUGACUUGGCUUUGACCAUACAGCCGAGGACUGUGGAGCAGUAAGGUGGAGGGAACUGAGGUUCUGGGAUGACCACGUGAAGCAAAGCUGCUCACCCACUCAGGACUGUUACAUCAGAGAGAAAAUAUAAGCUUUUUAAAGCCAAAGCUUCUUGGGAGUCUUUUUAUUACCGUGGCUUAACCUUUCCUCUAACUAAUUCAAAAGCCAAUUCCAAAACAAACCAACCAAUCAGCAGAAAAUCAGAAUGUUGAAAGUGACAUAUUCCAACUGAUGACAAAAGCCUGCAGGAUCAGAAACUUUUGGUCCCAUGUGCAAUAUGCAGUGUUCAUGGCUUCCUACCUGGAGAAAGUUAAGUUUUAUUGUGUUCAAGGAGGUUGAGAGUAUAUAUUUGAUGUCCCAAGAUUGAGGAAGUGGUCCAGCAGGAAGACUGCAUUGAGUUACCAACUUGGGUGAAAAAGAUCAAGGUGAAGAUUUUAUUCCACAAAGUAUAAGGGGCCAGUAGGUCUUUACAGAAUAGAUAGGCUCAGGCCCAAGUAUGGUGGAUUAAGACUGACCUGAGAGAACACGAUAUCAGCACAUCCAUUGAUGGGAAGGAAGGACGUUGACCCAAUAGGCCAUUGGCUUUGUGGAACAACAGUCUUGAAAACCCUUGGAGAAGAUAGGUGCAGCCAACUCUGGAGGACUGCCUGAAAGGGAGCAGAGCCUGUAGAGGAGGCAUGGAGCCUCUGGAUGAAGGGCCGGUGCAACAUUCAGAGUUCAGUAUUGAUCGUGUUUGUGAUUUAAACACUCAGAGACCAAGGAAUUGACCACUUUGAUGUGGAUUGAUGGUUUCCUGAUGCUUUAUGACAGGUGUGGCCCAGGGACCUCUCCCCCAAGCCUGGGAGAAUCAUCCUCUGCUGUUAAACAGCUCAAUCAUUUCUCAUCCCUGGCAUCCUCACUGGUCCAUUGGCUCCUCCCUUCCUCCCCUCUUACCUACAAGUGCUGACCCUUCCUGGGCUGCUGCCAAACAUGACCCUGGAUACUGUGAGUCUCAGGCUGCUGGGCUACCAGGAUCAGAAUCAAGAAGGGAAAAGGAUCAAAAUUUAUAGAGUAUCUUUUAGAGUACUAGCAUGGUCAUUUCAUUACCAACUUUGCAAAAUAGGUAUCAUUGAUCCCAUUUUAUAGACGAAUAAGUUGAGUCUGAUGGAUAACUUGCUAUGUGAGGGACCCAAGCCUGCUAAUUCUACACUUUUGCACACUCUCACUUUAUUGCCUACAGAAGAGCUCAGAAGGAGAGGGAGGGAGAGGGGGACGGGAAGUAGAACUGUCCCUGGGGUAGAAAUAAAUUGGAGUGCUGGACAUGUGCAUUAGGAGCCUACUAGGCUGUAUUGCAGAUGACUCAGUAUGCAAUGGGCAGGAAGGAGGGGUGAAGAGAGGAGUAGGCAGUUUUCUCCAAAGCUGCUUUACAACAACAUCCCUGAGUGUGAACAUAAGUGAGUCUACAUGUCUAUCUCUGCCUCUUCUACACAUACCUUUGCAGGUUGCUGUGUGGAGUUUUUUGGUGCCUUCUUUUCUAAUUUAACUUGAUUUCCUUGAGGAUGGCAGAGCUGGACAUGUUCAGGAAACCUCAGAAAAAGAGCUGUAUGUCACUAAGUCAGGAAGAGGGCCCAGAGGUCAGGGUUUCUCAUCUGGGGCCAUCAAUACCGGCCUCCUUCUAGCUCUGUCAGACACUUGGCCCCUUCUGGGUACUCUGGCAGAGUUUGGUACCAUUCUCUCACACUGAAGAGAGACCCUCAUAGGUAGAGGCAUUGCAAGCUGCAGGCUGUGGCUCACAUUGCAAUGUAGCUGUAUCAGCCAUGAUUUUUAGUUACAGGCAUCAGCCAACUCUGGCUGACUGAAGCCGAAGAGAGUUUGAUGCAAAGAACACUGGGUGGCUGGAGAAUCAGUAGGAAUGCUGACAGUAAGGCUGGAGAAUAAGCAGCCUGGAGCAGCACCGAGAAUCACAUGGUGGAAGGAGUCUGGAGAAACUUCUACUGCUUCAGCCAUUGAAUGUUGGGCACUAUCAUUGGCAUCACAGUCACCUCUGUGCACAAACUUGAACCUGCAGUAGGGAGAGAGAGAACUCCACCCUUCCUGUGUCUAGCUCCAGAGUCAAAACCCAGGGUGGCACAUGGUGGAUGGAUCCUGUGUACAGCCUGUGCCUGGCUGCAAAGGCUGCUGGGAAAGCCAGUUGCUGCAUUUUUGGCAUCUACAGUGGGAAGCAGCCACUGAAGACAAUGAAGACUCAUGAAGUGGGAACUUCUCAAUGAAAAAGGAGUUCAAAUAUUGGGUGGCCAAAUAAAAUGAUAAAUAUUCACUAUCAUUGCCUUAGUUGAGAAUCGAGAAGCUGGGGGCAGUGUGAGGGUACUGAUGGCAACAUUCUCUAACAGGUAUUGAGUGAUUAUUCUCUGGGCUAACUAUUCUAAAUGCAGUAUCUCAUUUAAUCCUUCCGACAAAUCUCCCAGGCAAUUACUAAUAUUGUACCUAUUUUCCAAAGGAGACAACUGGAUUGUAGACAUGACUGUGGCACAUACCUAGUAGGUGUCUGAGCUGAGGUUCUGGCGUAGGCAGUCUGUCUUCUGAGACUGUGCUCACAUUUUCAUGAUUGAGGGCUGGUGAGGAACUCUAGGGGUAUUUCUUUAAGUUAAAGCAUUAAAACCAGCUGUCCCUAGUGCUCAUCAUUCCAAUUAUGCCACAUUAACUCCAGUCUUUUAAAAAUCCCGUCUCAAGGUACUUCUAGGAGUCUCCAAGAUGGCUUGUGUGAACACGUGUCAGACCAGGUUAUUGGAGGCCACCGUGCUGUCACCUUCCUCUGCCAAGUCCAGGCCCACUGUGGGGACCGCUGUCCAGGCUUAGAAACUCCGUUCUUUUGCCAGGAGAUUCUCAGCCCCCAUGUUUGGGGAUGGCCAGGGGACAUGGCCCCACUUGACUGCCUGCCUUGCCAGUAUCUCUGAUCCAUUUUGGAGGCCUGCCCUGCCAUGCUCUGCUUCCCAGGAUCCUGAACAAGGAUUUGAGAACUAAGGUUUGAAUUCUGCAUAUGAAACAGUCAAACUCAAGUUGUCCAUCUGCUGGGAAAAGAAAAUAGCUUCAGAGCAAAGUCACUUGCCUUUUAAUAAUUGAUGGAUAAAAGAUUGCAGCAUGUGCAAAAACACACUUUCCAGAUCUGCCACUAAGAACGGUUCGGGCAGAAGAAACUGCUCUUUCCAUUGCCCCAGAGGCCAGGCCUGCCCUCAGCUAAUCUGGUGACCUAAUCCUUUCACAUGGGGGAGGACCAGAGCAUUUGCAUACAAGCAAUGAAUGCAUCUUUCCACCAGAGGCUUCCAGAGGCAAGUCCAAUCUAGUUAGUGCUUAUCUGUCCAAGCUGGCUGACCUUCUCCCAGUGCACAGUCCAGUCCCAAGUCCUCCCACCCCUGCCUUGUUCCCAGAACGAGUCUUGACUAUUCUAGCCUCAUACCUCGUCCCUAAGUUGCAACACUUGAUAUGGCUCCUUGAGGACUGCCUUGGCCAUCUCCUUGUUGCCGCUCCCACUGACUGCUUGGGUUUCAGCAGUUCACGGCUUCACGAGGCAACCCCUCCCUCUUGGUUCUAUGAUAACAUAACCGGUCACAGGCCUUUUGCCCAGCCCAGGCACUGAGGGACUGGGACCUGCCCUGGCCCCAUCUUGGCUUUCACAAAUGGGAGCUGGUGAGGUCUCACCCAGGUGAAACCCGGAAUUCACUUUCCUUUCAAAUGUUAAUAUGUUGCUGUGAAAACAUGCCUUUAUCAGUCCAGAAUCCUGUGUCUGUAAUCUCAAUAUCUAAAAGCUCUGAAAGCCAAAAGUUGGUUAUAAUCUGCAUGGUAGCAAAAUCUAACAGGGUUAAUUUCAUUUUCCAGAAUUAUCUGACCUGCACUAAGUGGAGGCUAUCUAUUGCCUUUAUUGAUCUCAUUUGGUGUGAAUACGCAUACAUGCUGCUGGAGAAAUAUUAAUGUCAUUGAUUACGAGGUGUCCCAGAGCUCACUGGGGUGUUGAUGUAUGAAGUGGUAUGUGCACCAAACUGCCUUUCUAAAAUACAUUCUGAAUUCUGAAACAUACCUGGCCCCAAGAUUUUGGAUGAGGAAUUUAGGCCUGUAUUAAAAUUAACCCAGGGAGGGUUAGGGCCUGGGAGAAGUGACCAUGAGUGGCCAUUGUUAUCUAAAGCUAAUGCAGGGAGCCAGGGGCAGCAGUGGCCUGAGUUAAAUAUCACUGGAUCCUUUAGUAUAAUUACAGAGUCAGGACUUAAGGAGAGUCAUUGACAUCCCUUUCAUCAAAAAGAAAAGAAAGAAUUGCUCCCUGUAAUCCAUACCCAUUAAUUCAGCAUCUCCCCUAGAUAGCUGAAACCCCUUCAGAAAGACUGGAAUAUUUUCUAGAUAAUAAAUCUGGGUCUUUAUCUUUCCCUUUUCUUCUUUCCCCUCUUCCCUUUGCCCCAUCCCUGAACUUCCCCCUCUUCUUGUGUUUUUGUCCAUAAAAGAGCAGCUUCUGUCAUUCAUGUGACAAUGAGCCUCCUUAGGUAAUUAAAGGGGAGUCUGCAGCCUGAACUACAAGUGAGAGGUCAUCUUUUUCAGCUUAUAGUCCUACCUCUACUGGGAGUGUGAUUCUGGGGACAAGAAGGAAGAAACGGUGCCAAAGCGCAUGGAUGGCCAAUUGUGCGCCUGGCUCUUCCAUGUGGAGUAGGCAGUGGGGCUGCUUGGAGCACACUUAGUGUUUGCCCUCCAGAUUUUUCCAGUCUCCUCAUAGAUGACCCAUGCCUGAUCUAGAAUAGGGAGGCAGGGUUUUAGAUUUAACUAGAAGUCUUCAUUUGUAUUCUUCCCAGAAGCAGACCCUGAGAUGAGGGUUCUGGGAAAUAAGGAGAACAGCAGUUGGGAAGAGGAGAACAAAGCCAGGGGAUGACUAGAGCUUAAUCCUUUGGGGAAACUCUGGGUAACAGCACAGAACACACCUCAGAGUUAUCUUCCUAAGGUGCCAGAUGAGGGAGUUGAGGUAUUUAUACACCCUCUCCUGAGACUCAUGGGUUGAGGGCUGCUGGAGGCUGCGAUGACAAUGCCCUGACACAUGGGCCUGCUUCCUGGGGGCAAAAGCCUCAGGCACAGACAUACAUACACUGGGGUUUGAAGUUGAUUGUUACAUACUGUAAUAGUAACAUCCAAGCAAUACUAGCAGGGCACUGACAGCAUCUAAUACAGUUUUUUUUUUUUUCACUAAAAUGCAAAGGAAUGUUUGCAUUUCUUUAUCAGAAGAAGGAAAAGAAUGCCAGUCUUCCCAUUUUGAUGGUUGUGCCCACAAGAACCAGCAGAGCCUGGAAGGACAAUAUGCUUGGUAGUGGGAUCAUUUGGGGCUAGUGAGGGGGCAGGGUCUCGGGAAAAAGGGCACGGUGCCUGGUGAAGGGAGUCAUUCUGGGGGUGCUGCAGUGAUGAUGCUAGUGGCAGCUGUGCCCUUGGCAAUGGGAGUGGGGGUCUGCUACUGCAGUGAACCCUGAAAGCAGUAGGGAGGUGCUUCUUUAUAUCCCUUAGAGACUUCAGCAAAAAAUAUCCUUGAAUAAGGCUAGGGUAGGCAAGGGAAAAAUGGCAGGCACAGCAGUGGACUCAGCUUGAUUGUGAAGCCCUUUCUUAGGCUCUGUAUGGGGCUGGAAAUACCACAUGUGUCCUGUUUGGUGGGGAGGGGUCCUGUUGGGUGGAUAAGUGAUGCUCAGAGCAUUUCUAGGGCAGGAGUUGUCAAACUUUUUCCUGCUAAAUAUUAUAGGCUUUAGGGGUACUACUGUCUCUGUUGUAACUACUCAGCUUCCCUAUUGUAUAUCAAGAAAUGGUCACAGACAAUAUGUAAGGAAUGCGUAUGGCUGUGUUCCAUCACAACUUUAUUUAUGGAUGCUGAAAUCAGAAUUUUAUAUAAUUUUCAUGUGUCACAAAUUUUUUUUUCUGAUUUUGUCCAUUCAUUAAAAAAUGCAAAACCUAUUUUUACCUUGUGAGCCACACUGAAACAGGCUGUAGGCUGAAUUGGGCCCGUGAACUGUAUUUGCAGACCCUUGUUCUAGGGCUUCUCUCUGACUUGGGCUCCAGGGUUAAGGGCAGAUUUCCAACCGAUUCUUGACAGCGUAGGAGGGGCAAACCUCCUCCUCACUCCAGUGAGAUAAGUGACUCAUCCAAUAAUGGCAAAGACUCAAAAGCAAGGAGAUAGAACCUCAUGUAUGCGUGGACAUUUAACUGGCUCCGGUGAAGGCUUGAAGCCCUAUUUGCUAAGCUUCUGCUCAUUUGCUGCUCCAGAAAGUGACAGCCUGCAUGACCAGUCCACAGCCUGUUACUUUGGGGAUUUUACAGGGUUCAUAGAGUAAAGAGGAGACUUUGGGUAAAUACAGAUCAAAUAUUUGGGUGACACUGGUAGAGUGAAAAGGUAGACUUUUAAGCCACAUCGCCUUGCACGCAGCUUCCAGCUCUGCCAUUUACAGCCUAGUAAUCUGAAUCAAGACACUUAAUUACUCUGGGUCUCAGUUUCCUCAUCCAUAAAAUGAGGAGCAAUAAUAACCCCCCUUUUAGGCUUAUUAUGAGGAUAAAGUAAGACAAUACGUGAAAUGACCUUGGAUCAAGCUCAGCUUGGCAUCUCAUCUUUACUUAAUGGAUGGUUUUAAAAUUAUUUUUAAUGCCAACUUCACAAAGUUGUGAUAGAAAUUAAAUGAGAUAAAUGUGUAAAGGGCUCAGGGACAUAGUAUGUGUUAAGAAAAUUAUUGCUACUAUUAAAAAUAUGAUGGAGAAAAAAAGGUUAGGUAUUUCUCCAUCUUCUCUUUGGGAUGAUGGCUCUCAAGAGGUGGGAAGAGGAGGACAAUGGCACCUGCAUAAUUUUGAUUGCAGGAUAUUUGUAUUCUUUCCCUUUCUGAAGUUCCUGAAUAGCAAAUGUUUUUGACAGCAAUUGGGUCUGGAUGCCACGUUUUGAAGCCCAACUAACAAACAAGAGAUUAUGAGACUGCAGUUAUCUUUUACCAGCUGCGUGGAAAAAUCCUGUCAUUUGGCAUCACACAACUAUGAAUUCUUUUAUCUCUUUCUCCCUUCUUAUGUGCUCCUGGAGCAUAUGUAAGCAAGCUCUGACAUUGAUAACACAUUCUUAUUAACCAUUAUCUGAAAGAUGGGAUGCCAACUUAGGAGUUUUGCAUUGCAUAUCAGAUGGAAAUUUCCAUUGGGGAAUGGAAUGUUAUCCACUCCUGGCCAAUGACAUCCCAAGGCUGAAGUUACCUUCUACAUACACCAUAGUCUGAGGUCAUGAAUUGGCUAGAUUUCUGCCCAAAUCUUUGCCUACUCCUUCAGAAGGAAAUGGAAUAUGAGGCAACUAUGGGCACUUAGAGGGAACAGAAAGUUGAUUUUCUGUCAUAUAAACGUUAGCUUCUUAGGCAGUGUAGAUGGAGCAGGUGACUGGAGCCAGAGGGAUGGGGUUGUGCUUGUAGAAAGGCCAAAUGAACAGGCUGAGUGGAGACCCUGUGGGGGCCCCUGAGAUGCACCCUUUAAUAUUCAUCCCACUCCAUGUGGUCAGUCUAAGCACAUCAUGUAAUUCCCAUUUUCCUUGACAGAAAUUGGUUAAGUAAAGGGCAUGUUAUCCACUCCUGGCCAAUGAGAUGAGGAAAAGCCUACAGUACGUGUGUGUGUGUUGGUUGGGGGGCAGUCUGGGGAAAGUUUAUCUUCUGUGAAGAAGGAACUCAGAGAGAGAGUGCCUUUUCGCCCUGUGGACUUUGCCAUGAGCGCCUGGUGCUAAGGUGUCAUCCUGCUAUCAUCCCUCUGAGAGACCAGCAUCAAGUAUUCCUGAAAGGCAAGAGGGAUGGUUCCUGGAUCCCUAAGGACAGCAUUGCCUGGCAGCUGAUCUCUACUUGCCUUCAAAUUAUAAUAUCUCUGUGCUUGCUCAUUGUUGAAGUCAGUUUGAGUUGGAACUCUGUUCCUUGUAACCAGAAGGAUCCUAUCUGGGGGCCACAUUUUUGACAUUGGAAUAUCACCAAGGUGAGAAAUAAGGGAAGGGUGUGCACUAGGCAUUUAGAAGAGGGGAGCGGCUGGGCACUUUUAAUGGGUUAGUGUGAAACAUACCUUGUACUCUAUCUGGAGCAUCCUAUAUUAAUUAACUAACUUAUUAAUGAGCCUGUAUAAGGCACCUACUACAUGGUCAGCAUAGGGACAGGUCUUUCUGAGAAUAAAAGAGUCAUAUAAAACAUCAUUCUAGUUGUCAAGCAUCAUAAAAUUUAGUUGGUGGAGACAAGACUAGAAAUAAAACAAAAUAAGUGGUUUAGAGAAGGGCGUGAUGAGUGAGUGCUAGAGUAGGUAAAAGCUUCGUGGGAGAUGGAGAAAGCUAAGCUGGGCCUUAAUCAGCAGAAAGAAUAAAGGUGAGGACAUAGAGACGUUAAGUCACAUGCUCCAACACAGCCAGAAAGUGGCAGAGCUGGGGUUCAAACCCAGUAUGUCUGACUCCUUCCAACCCUGGGCAUGUAACUACUAUGCUGGAGCAUACUUAUGCUCCCAAUGUGUAUUUGUAAGCCUGGAAUGCUCAUAUAUUAAUUUAUAAUGAGAAAUAGAACUGGAAAACAUUAUGAAUUCAAAAUCUGUGAAGCCAAGUUAUAUUCAGAAGGUUCCCAAGGCAGCUUGAAGCUGAUUAACAGACAGGAUAUCCCUGACACCAGGAUGGAGGCAUGUGUCUUGAAGGGCUAGUCCUUCUCUUCCUGGCUAGGUACUGGUAAGAGAAUGGCCAGUUUUGGAGUCUUGGGGCUCCCAUUUAAAUGCUCCAGGCUGUUCCUAAAGUCCUUCUUCAGUCAUGGUGUAAGUCAACUGGUCAGGCCUCUAGGUGUUCAUUAUGUUCACAUUUAAUUCAGUGGUGUACUAGCAAGUGUUUAACAAAUGGCUCUCUGGGGCACUGGGGGAAGCCCUAAUUUGUAACAUUCACCAAGUCAAGUUCCAUGGUGUAAAUACUCCCUCCAAGACUAUUUCAAGCUACCAGCAGGAAGAGAUGCACACAAUCAAUGGCUCUUGAGUGCUGGUACCGGCAGGCUCCAGCACACCACUGUGCUCACAUUGCAUCCUGCCUCUCAGAGCCUUCCCAGAUGCCUUGAUGGGAAUUAUGGAAUGUUCUCAGACUUUUGUAGAACAUUUACCAAAUUAGUCACAGCCAUGUGUGUGAACUUUUUCAGUUUAAUUAUUGGAAAAUGGCCUCACUUCCAAAUUCUUGGAGAACACUGUUUUUACCUUCAUGUACCGUCAACUAAUAGAGCUGUAAGGUGGCCAAAGAAACCAAAGAUGGAUUUCCUUUCUGUAUUGCCUAAAGUCCAGAGUUCUGUUAAAAAUUACUGUCAAGAGUGAGGCUUGGGGUCUGUGCUGCACUGAGUAAUACCAUGGGUAGCAAUAGAUAAAUUGGCACAGAAGAAUCUUCUACAGCACCACCGCCAUUCACCCCCUGCCUCACUUUGCUGUCUUACCCAACAUUACAUGACAGAAAAAAGAAAUUGUGUUGCCUAGUAACAGCUCUGAGCAAGGGGAGACCAGUCAAUACAAUUCUGAAUUAAGGCAACAUCCACAAAAAAAUCCAUCUUGAGGAUUUAUACGAAAACCAAAGUGUAGUUAUAGUCUUACAAGCUGGUGGAGAAGUCCCAUUAGCUUUGGGUAUUGGAUUAUUUAGAAUAAUAUAUCUGAGAUAUAGAUUUCUUUUUCUGGGAAGAAUAAUCUACUCUGAGGCCAUGAAAAUCAAUAGGCCACUUUGAAGACUGACUUCAGCUGUUAUUGGUAAUGUUUUGGUUGUGUUUGUGAAUCAACAAUCAAGCAAAAAUAAGGCCAUUUAGUAGCUCACACUAAAGAGCACUACUUGUCAAUUUUGCAACGAAGCCUCUCCAUCCAUUGAAUGAAACAGCAUCUCCCAAGGGCUGCUGUGAGCCUAUGGAGACCCUGAAAGCUGACACCAGCACAAAGAAUUAAGGAUAAGUCUUCCAGGGUGGCCAGUCAUCCCAGCAUAUUGAGACUGAGGAGUUUCCCAGGAUGCUGGACUUUUAAUGCUAAAACUAGGAAACUCCUUGGCAAACUGGGACAGUUGGUCGCCCUGGAUCAGUGGUUCUCAACUGCAGAUGAUUUUGCCCCUCAGGUAGGGUUGCCAGAUAAAACAGAAGAUACUCUGUUAAGUUUGAUUUUCAGAUAGACAAUGAAUAAUUUUUCAGUAUAAGUAUGUCCCAACUACUACAAUGGGACACAUUUAGAGUUAAAAAGAAUUAUUCUUUGCUUGUCUAAAAUUCGAAUUUAACUAGGCUUUUAACAUUUUUUAAAAAAUUUUUUUUGUAAAACUGACAGUCUUACCCCCAGGAGAUAGUUGGUAAUGAUUGGAAGCCUCUUCGGUUUUCACAACCACAACUUCAUCAGGGAUGCUACUAGCAUCUAGUGAGUAGAGGCCAGGCAUGCUGCUAAACUUCCUAUAAGGCACCAAUGCAGACAACAGCUGCCUAAAACAAAGAAUUAUCUGGCCUGAAAUGUCAGUGGUGCAGAGGUUGGGAAAUCCUGCCGUAGACCUAAACAAGCUGGUGCCACGGAGCUCCAUCUUCCUUGAGAAAACACUAAAGGAUGGACGUGGGCUUCCCUGCUUCAUGCACACAGAUGGAAAAAUGUCACAUACAUUCCUGACCUUUAACACUUUCAGUCUGAUGCGUCAAACAGCCAUUGGGAGCUUAAGAAGUGUCUAGCAAAAUGGGACAAUUCCCCUUGCCGGACUCCCCCUUCCACACUUGGAAGGGUGAGGCAGUGUGUGUCAUCAAACAAUAGAGCAGAUAAAAGCUGAAUCAGGGUGGUCUCCAGGACACCCCCAUCUCCCCAGACUUCUAUGGUGACAUUUCUUGCACUCCUCAAGUUUGUUCAUGGCUUUGAAAACACAGUUUCAGAAUGUCUUCAUUGUUUCAUACGGUACUGGCCGCGCCUGGAGUUUUCCUGAAGGAAACUGUAGCAGCAGGAAUUUUGUGCAAUACUAUAAUAAGGGGGCUUUAUCCUUCCAAAAAUACAUCCUUUCUCCUUGUUGCCAGCUCUCCCACAGCCCUGUGAAAAAUGUAGCUCAGAAGUUACUGAGGCGUUUUUCUGUUUUUCCUUUCUCACUUUAGUUCAUAUCAAGCAACAGAAAGCAAUUCUAUUAUUCACACUUAGGCGUGCUAGCUUGAAUGAAUGAACAAAUCAAAUAUCAAUCCUUUUCUCAUUUCCCUAGUGUGUAAGAACUGAAAUGUAGAAAGUGGCAUCUGCUUAAAAGGAAUUGGUGAAUUUGACUUCUCUAGGUACCUUAUCCAAGUGGAAUGAGUGUUUAAUGGGCACAGAGUUUCAGUUGGGAAGAUCGAAACGUUCUGGUAGAUGGAUGUUGGUGAUGGUUGCACAACUAUGUGAUUAUACUUAAUGUCAUGGAACUGUACACUUAAAAAUGGUUAAAAUAGUAGAUUUUAUGUUAUGUAUAUUUAAUCACAGUUUAAAGAAAGGAAUUGGUGAUGCAUGUCUAUGCAUGUAAGUUUUGAUAUAUGCUUGCUGAUUGAUUAUUUAUCUAAGGUCUGUUUACAUAUUUUCCCCCAGUAAACUUGGUACUUGCCUCAUUGUCCUGUAUCCUUAUCCUUAAAUUAAUUGGACAAUGCCUCUUUCUUCUUCUCCCUCUUCUUAACUCCAGCAGUCACAUGAAGAUAGAAAUAUAUUUUGUCUUUGGAAGUUACUCUUUUUUAAUUUUUUAAUUUUUGUGGGUACAUACAUAGUAGGUGUAUAUAUCUAUGGGGUACAUAAAAUGCUUUGAAAUAGGUAUGCAAUGCAUAAUAAUUACAUCAUGGAAAAUGGGGUAUCCAUCCCCUCAAAUAUUUAUGUUUCAUGUUAUAAUCCAAUUAUACUCUGGAGUAUACGCUGAGUACUCCAAAUGUACUCAAUAGUACAAUUAAAUUACUACUGACUAUAAUCACCCUGUUGUACUACAAAAUACUAGGUCUUAUGCAUUAUUUCUAACUAAUGUUUUUGUACUCAUUUACCAUUCCCCCUCCCCUUCACAGUCCCCCAUUACCCUUCUCAGCCU